ACUGUGUGAUCCACAGUGUUAAAGGAAACAAGUACUGUGUGAUCCACAGUGUUAAAGGAAACAAGUACUGUGUGAUCCACAGUGUAACAGGAAACAAGUACUGAGUGAUCCACAGUGUUAAAGGAAACAAGUACUGAGUGAUCCACAGUGUUAAAGGAAACAAGUACUGUGUGAUCCACAGUGUCACAGGAAACAAGUACUGAGUGAUCCACAGUGUUAAAGGAAACAAGUACUGAGUGAUCCACAGUGUUAAAGGAAACAAGUACCGUGUGAUCCACAGUGUCACAGGAAACAAGUACUGUGUGAUCCACAUUGUCACAGGAAACAAGUACUGAGUGAUCUGCAGUGGAACACAUAACAAGUACUGUGUGAUCCACAAUCUUAAAGGAAACAAGUACUGAGUCAUCCACAGUGUUAAAGGAAACAAGUCCUGAGUGAUCCACAGUGUUAAAGGAAACAAGUACUGAGUGAUCCACAGUGUCAAAGGAAACAAGUAUUGUGUGAUCUACAGUGUUAAAGGAAACAAGUACUGAGUGAUCCACAGUGUUAAAGCAAACAAGUACUGAGUGAUCCACAGUGUUAAAGCAAACAAGUACUAUGUGAUCCACAGUGUUAAAGUAAACAAGUACUGAGUGAUCCACAGUGUUAAAGGAAACAAGUACUGUGUGAUCCACAUUGUCACAGGAAACAAGUACUGAGUGAUCUGCAGUGGAACACAAAACAAGUACUGUGUGAUCCAUAGUGUAACAGGAAACAAGUACUGAGUGAUCCACAGUGUUAAAGGAAACAAGUACUGAGUGAUCCACAGUGUUAAAGGAAACAAGUAUUGAGUGAUCCACAGUGUUAAAGGAAACAAGUACUGAGUGAUCCACAGUGUUAAAGGAAACAAGUACUGUGUGAUCCACAG